UGGGGCAUGACUACUCACCAUGACAUGCCCAGUGAGGAAUUUAUGAUCAGAUCACCUUGUGAGGUAACUUUCUAUAGAACCCCUUUUUUCAUCCACACCUUGUGUGGAUAAACACAUUUUGUUUAUUGCUUCAGUUGAUGGACAUUUAGGUUAUUUCUACCUUUUGGCUAUUCUGAAUAAUACUGCUAUAAACAUUGGAACAAUUUUUGUGUGUGGAGAGUUUUUUUUUAGUUCUCUUGACUGUAUACCUAGGAAGGGAACUGCUGGGUCAUAUGGUAACUAUGUUUAACCAUUUGAGGGACUACCAGACUGUUUUCCAAGGUGGUUGUACCAUCGUACAUUGCCACCAGUAGUGUGAGGGUGUGUACCCCUGUAACUGCCAACUGAAAUAGCAAUUCUCUUGUCUCGGUGGCCAGAGCAAAUCUGCCGUUUCUGGAUGACAGUGCUCUCUAAUGCUGAAUGGCUUCUACCAGAUUUCAGGGUCAACGAUGUAGUUAGAUCUCACCAACUCUCUUACAUGUGUACUUUGUCUGUGUUUUCUUUUUAAGUUAGAGAACUAGAUACACUUUACUUAUAGGUAAUUGUAAUCAAAGAUAGAUAGUGGGUUGUCUUCUCAGUUUCUAGUUGUUUUUUGUUGAGUUAACUGGUAAAAACCCUUAACCCAGUAGUUUGCAACUCUUGGCUACACAUUAUAAUCACCCAAGUCUCUUAAAAGCAAAUUGGGUCCCAGAGAUUCUGAUUUAUUUCAUCUGGGUUGUGGCCUAGGUGAGCCAAAUGUACAUCCUGGGUAGAGAAUCAGUGUAACCAGUAGUGGCCAUGGGAACGGUUCUGGCUGGGUCUUCUGAGGGCUCACACUGCUCACAUCCCAGCCAGCUGGGCAUGGAUAUCUAUUUUAUUGACUCAGAAUUACUGUGACAGUCUUUGUCUUUGCUGGAGCACUCACAAAGGGUGCCAUCUUUAAGCAUGAAACAUUUUUCCUGAUUUCUACAGGUCUUGUUUCCUCUCAGUGUGAUUUGGCAGUACUGGCUCUGGCUGUUUUGCCUCCUGUCAGGCAGGCCCCCUGCAGUUUCUGAAUGGAAUCAGCAUGAUCCAGCCGUUUUAGGGGAUUUCAAGCACCUUAGGCAGGACACUCUUCCUUGUAAAUCAUCAUUGUGUGAAAUGAUGGCUUCGUGUAUGCUUAUUUGGUUAAUACUUGUCUCUAAUGAGUAUCUAACACCUAACAAUGAAGAUUUGUCGAAUGCAUGAGAACUGAGCUUUGGCAGCAUGUAAGCAGCUUCUCGCCAAGAACCCAGGUCACCGCUGAGAAGGGGGCCUUAGGGAGAAGAAUAUCCAGAGGAAACCAAUGCCAGGAGCGUCUGGAAUUACACUCACCGCAGGCAGCAUGAGACAUUCUGUGCCAGCAUCUGUGUCCUCCUGGCAAAGACUGUAGCUGUCCAGGUAGGAGGGUCCUGGAAGCGGCGCGCACCAGGAGCCUCUCUAGAGGAAGAAUGGGGCCAGAUAUGAACUCUCUACAGUGAACAAAAUUUUCAGCUUAUGAAGGAAUUUUAAGUAAAACAGUUAUUUAAUUUCCACAUAUUCAAGUUCCGUAGCCUUCUGUGUGGCGUGCCAGCAGUCACCC